rnacentral:piRNA from 1 species
UGUUUAAGCGGUGAGAAGACAUGAC